AGUGGCGGACGGGUGAGUAACGCGUGGGUAACCGUGCCUUGUACUGGGGGACAACAGUUAGAAAUAGACUGCUAAUACCGCAUAAGCGCACAGGACCGCAUGGUCUAGUGUGAAAAACUACCGGUGGUGUGAGAUGGACCCGCGUUUGAUUAGCUAGUUGGUGGGGUAACGGCCUACCAAGGCGACGAUCAAUAGCCGACCUGAGAGGGUGACCGGCCACAUUGGGACUGAGACACGGCCCAA
rnacentral:rRNA from 1 species